GGGAUAAGAAAAAAACAGCUAUUGACACCUUUAUGAGCAACAGGAGCAUAUUCAAGUGGAUUGUCUCUCCUGAGUUAUAGAUCAGAUUUUAAAAUUCAAGGUUCAAAUAUAAGGAAUUAUCCAGUGUCCUCUAACACAUUUUUAACACAUGGGAUGUAUAGCUGAAUGUGAAGAUAUUGGGAACAUCUGGUCCUCGAAGUACUCCAGUGUUUGUGUCUGCUCUGCUCUGUGCUUGGUAUUACAUUCCACAGAAAUGAUCUCCGUAUCAGGGCUCCCUGUUUGUAACACGAUUUUAAAACUUAGUUUGCUCCACGAUUUAAAAUACAUUAACUUUAAAAAAGUUAUGUUUGUUAAAUUCUGUUGAGCAAAAUUCUUAUGGUUGUUACAUUUAACACUUUUUUUGCAUCUUAAAAAAAUAAAGUUUAAACAAAAAAAAAAAGAAAUGUUCUCGGAGAUUUCCAAGGCCAAAUACAUGUUCUAAUAUUUUGCUCAUGGUAAGAUGACGUGUUACGGUUCUGUGCGGUAAAAUCAAUCCUGCUUAAAGAAUUCAGUGUAAAUAUUAACCUAGUAUAAAUCAAUAUCAUCUGACAUCAUGUGCAAGACCACACUAACUGUUACAGUCUAUGGGAAUGUUAUCUGCUUGCCUGCUUUGGGAUCAGGAAUUACUAAACAGGAAACUGCGAGUGGAAGUCUGACAGCAAGUGCCUCUGUGCCUUUUCUGAAGCCUCCCGGACAGAGCCAAGAGAAACACAGCCUCCGAGACGCGCCAAGGAAAGGAGACUUAACCCUUCUGGAGGGGCAAAGAAUUUCACUGCUGGAAAGGGAAGCUCAGCAGAUGGCAUCUGCUGACAGGCUCUUCACAGAAGCCAGCCCAGCUGUUUCAUUCAAGGGGAGGCUGAGAGUCACGCAGCUCAGGCUCCAUGAGUUUCUGAAGCUUCACUGCAGGGACCAAGCUAAUGAUCGUCCAGAGCAACUGAACAGGCUGUCCCUGGAGAGCAAGUGGCAGCAGGGAGAGAGCGUAGGUGAGAGAAAAGACCUGAGAACUCUUAGAAAGACACGAGUGGAGGCCGUUCGCGUAUUUCAGCACUUAUUCACUGUGGACUGACAUCUUUAAUGGGUUUCUCAGGGACCUCCAUGGAAAACAAAUCCCAGGCUGACUCUGCCAGACCCUGCUGCGUGGGAUUCUCCAGUCCAGAAGGGAAUGCAUCCAUAACAACACUUGAUGACAAAAUAAACCAGAUAUGAAUACUUACAGCACAACCUGGGACAAAAUGUGUAGUUCCUAAUGUUGCAUUAAAAACACAAUAAAUCUAUUUUCAUCAUCUGCAAAGCAGUACUGUAUAAGCAUCUCUUGUCCUAGACUGGCAAAUUUCUGACCUCUGACCUACAUGCCAAAAUAGUGAUUUGCUGUUGUUGUUUUUUUUUUCAGAAAACCCCUUUAUCCCAAACACCAGAUACAAAUUAUGGGAAGUGAGAUGUUCUGUAAUGGGAGCUAUCAAUAUCAGGACCUCCUGUCUACAGGGAGGAGCCCCAGAAUAACUGGUCCGUGACUGAGUAGCAGAGGUGGGUUUUACCACAGCUCUUGCCUUAACCACUGGAUCACAGUGUCCUGCUGGUUUAAAUUGAGGCCUUUUCAGAACUGAAGCAGCAACCUCCUACUUCAACUGCUACAUAAUGGCAGUCCCUUCCAACUGUAAUGUUAUUCUUGCUGUUGUUGGGGGGUGGGAAGUGCCUUUCAAACUAUGCCUCCUUCUGUAAAGAAGAGAAACAAGGGGAUUGAGUAAGAGUUUUCUGUUUGUAAAUCACAUAUUUAUCCUUGGGAUCCAAAAGGCAGACUAUAAAAAUGCUCUGGGAUUCCAGCAUGGACCGAAGUGAUUGUUUUCAAGUUAAUGAAGAAACUCAAUGAGUCUUGUGUCUUUAUUAAAAUUGGCAAACGGGACCCAUCUCAAAUUAUCUAUUAGGUAUGCGGGCUGCCAGGACACAGGGAGAUAAACUAGGCUUAUUAUGCUGAAAAAAUGAAGCACUGGUUGGAAUUGGGAGUGGGGUACUAAACUAUAAAUGUUUCUGCUGACCUCUGGCUUUUUCAGUAACAGCUCAAAGAUGUCUGAAUUCUGUGUCAGUAUGUUACCCUCAGAUGGUUACUAUAACAGACAGUGCUCAUUGUAAAUAUAGCAUAAUAUAAAUCUUCUAGGUUUCUUAAUUUGGAAGUAUUUGAGAUUAAGGAUGAUGUUCUUAAGACUGCAUAAACAUGUCUUUUGUAGAAAAGGUAAGAUAUCUGUUGCACCCUGUUUAAAGUUUGACCUGCAGUUUGCUACCUAUUUCCAAUCUAGGUAUUCUUAAUUACACAGUUUCACCAACACUCCAAUUAACGUUUACUGUCACGCACCAGGUAUGCAGAUCUGCUCUCCUCCUUUGGCUGAGUUUAUACGAACUCUUCACAAGGCUAAUCUGUGAAUGUCCGUGUUAAUUUUUCAAAUUGGCGAUUCAGUAUGAGAUGCUAUAAGCAUUUGGUAUCAUUUAAUCAUCUAAUAGCAUUCAAUACACUGGCCUUUACUUCCAGUACUAGUCCUGGCGAUUUCGUUUAGAUUCGAGACCUUCCUUUCGUCAUAAUCUGGGUCGUUUCCUUCGAUCAGAUUAGUGCAGCCGUCUGUAAAUUCCAUUCAUUAAGACGUCUGGCGCCCGUCUUUGGCAGCUCUGUUCCGUUUUUGACAGAAGAGGAGUUUGGCUUUAAAUCACUAUACAGCUUUACCUAAUUUGACAAGAGGUAUGUCUCUGAAAUGACCAAACUGUAACAAGAUGAUCAUCCUUUUUUAAAAAAGCUUUAUUGAAAGAUUUGAAAAAAGUGGCUGAUCUGUUUGCCUGCUAUCUAAUUCAGUACAGGUUUUAUAUUUCAUAAGGAAGAGCUGUGAGAUUAAAAGAACAGCACUGAUAUAGAGAUCAGUAGGCAACAAGUAAAAAUGGAGCAGUAUCUCAUAGGCCUGAACUUGCACCUCUUACAGGGGUACAGAUGCUCCUGCAGGAAGCCCACAUCUAUACCAUGGGCCAAAUUUGGUUCAAGUUAUUCUGGACAAGACACCCAUUCCAUCUUUUUCAAACUGAUACAAAGUGCAGCAGGAAAUGCCACACUACAAUGUAUGUAUCCUCCAAAAAAAGCAACAAAAAAAAAUCUCAGAGCUUACUAUGAAGUAAAAAAUUAAAAACAAAUGCAAUUGAUGCCUGGGAAUGAAUUAACACUCUCUCCUCACAAAUUCCAUAUGCUGUAUGUGAAUACAGAUUUCUGAGCACGGGCUUCCUGCCAUCAAGUGUUGUGUUUGUAGCUUGCAAAUGAGAGCCUGACAGGUUUGUUUUAAUUUAAACCAAAGUGUAGCUAUUGGUAAACCAGGUUUUAAAACAUGGGCUGGAUACUUUCAACUGCAAAAGCCAUAAAUUAGAUCUUUUUAAACAUUAUUCAUGUUUGAGAAAUUGCUACAGCUUUUUUAAAAUUGCUGUUACUUCUUAACUGCUUCACUGGGUAAGGCUUAAUAAGUCAGGUAUGAGCCAGGAAAAUGUUUUGAUCUUUCCUGCCUUUGUGAAAUCAGGCCUGGGGAUUUGGCUAUAAACUUGAAACAAUUCCAUUUAGGUUAUUCUUAUUAACAAAUAACUAAGCAGUCUGGGUUUUCAGCUGUAAAAUGGAGGUUUUCUAGACCGCUACACAUUUCGAAUCUGAAAGCUGGUAGUUUUUCUGCUUCUGUUCUUCAUUCCUCGAUGUUUCCUUUUACUCUGUUCAGCUUUUGUUAUUAAUAAUUUCCUUUCUCAAAUGUAUAUUAAAACUGUGCUGAGUGUUACAAAAACCUAAUACUGUAAUAUAUAAUUUUUUACCACAUCUUAAAGGCCCUCAUUUCCACAUUUGCUUUUAUUUAAUUUGCAUAUAGCUUUUCAGCGCUCCCAGGCUGAAGUGUAAUAACAAUAAUAAAACAGACCAUAAAAAAUAACAAAAUUCAUCUCUUGGUAAAAUAAUUAUUCACCUGUUGUUUUGUGAAAAAAAAAGAUGCAAGUGAUAAAAGAGGAGCUGGCCAUUCUGCUUUUGCUGCUAAUGCUUUUGCAUUUCAUACUGAGAUAUUCCUUUACACAAAGGGUUGUAGGAGUCUGGAACAAGCUGUCAGGAGAUGUUGUUGAUGCUGAUGCUGUGGUUUCUUGUGGAAAAGGCUGGAUGAGAUCCUCAGAUCAAUUAGAUGGGAUAAGGGUAUCCUCUCAUCAUGCCCUCUCCUUCAUUUGUUAUUUUUGAUUUGCCAUGCCAACAACAACAAAAACACAGAAUGAGAGGAAGCAAAUGGGAAGAAAAUGGUUGCUGCUCAUUGCUCUGAAGCACCAAAAGGCUCAGCCUGUGCAACCUUGACAACGACUCCACCUGCUUCCCCCACUUUCAGCUUCAAGGAGUCUUGUAGUCUCAAAGUACGCUUAAGUGUAUUAUUGGGAGCAGCUAUAAACCAAAUGAAACCUCCUUCCUUAUCUGGUUGUUACUGUAACCCAGCACAUCAGAGUUUAGCGGUGCCUUGUUUCCUCCUGUUAUUUCCUCUCAUUCAGCUUUCACAAAACUUAGCCCCAGUAAACAGCGUUGAAAAGGCACAAAAGGAUGUGAGCUGAGACAAUGACCCAUUUUAUUACACUGAUGUGACUGAAGGGGAUGGGGACACCAGCCCUCAAACAUCAUGUUUUGCAAAAGUUGGCAAAAACAAGAACUUCCAACAGAGUGUAAAUUACAUAAAAUAUUUUUGGAAAUAUUUAUCUUACAGAUUAUAAGAACUCACCCAUAAAUGAAUAUAAGAAAAGUAAAUAACUUAAUCUGUUCCACUACGGACCUAAAGACUUGCAGUUAUAGAGAUAAAAUCUUAAAGAUGAUUAGAAGUUAGGUCACUAAAGAGCACUGUCAUGCACUUAAGCAUCUGGAUCUAAGGAUAGUCCAUAGAGGUGAAAGUGGAGGCCUGGUGAAUUUAUUCCAGCUCUGAGGCUGAAGAAAAACCCCCAACACAGCUUCCUAAUCUUCUUACUCCUGUCUGAAGUGUACUGUGCAAAUCUAGCCAGAUGGACAGCUUUUAGCAGGCUGUAACACCAAUGGCUGACCAGGAGGGAGACUCCAGGCUGUGGGAUUAGAGCAUAAAUUAUUGAAACACCUUGGAGGGUUUCUGGCAUACCUCUGAAACGCAAAGAGGUAUAUACCCCUCUGGCAUAGCCAGAUCAGAUUUUCCACCUGUCCUGAAAACAAUCUUUAUUAUCGCAAUGCACUAGGGUUUGAAAGACUGUCAGCUAUAAAAGGAGAUUUUUUUUACUUUCCCUUUCAUUCAUGUUGUACAAAGCUGCGAUCAAUGUUAUUGUAGACAGGAUCUAAACAGGCAUUAGUAUCGGUGUACCAAUUAAAACUGCUCUCCCUUAGUGUGGAACUCUGGCUCUCUGUAGGCUUCAAGGCUCUCUUAUUUAUAUGUGAGGCAAUGAAAACUCUAGGUUAUUUUAAGGGUUUAUUGCAUAAGUGCAGUCCAUCUCUUCACCUGAAAUUGAUGGUUCAAGUUUUACUCUGCUGAAGACCAGGCUGCAAACUUGAAGCAACAGAUUUCCCAGAAGCUCCAUAUUUGUGAAACACACUGCCCAUGCCCAUUAGAGACUUUGCAAUUGUUUCAAACUUGCUUAAGGACCUACAGUAUCUUUUAACUAGGGUUGAUAAAUUUAUCUUAUUUUUACUGGAUCCAUUUUCUUUGUUUUCUCAUGUUCUGACCUUUCUGCAUUGCAUGUGUGCUAUCCUACAAAGAUUUGAGUUUCUUGAAAAGUACUCAAACAAAAUCAUAUUAUUGACAUUUAUGCACAUAAUGACAUAACUACAACCUGUGAUUUACUUUUACUAGAAUAGCAAUCGAGAGAAGGCCAUUCGGCCUGUAUUUCAAAGUUUGUGGUUUGUAGCUAAUUAUUUUGGGGAUCCUCCAAUCAUUUCUUAAAAUAUCUGAGAGAAUUAGCUCUCACAACAUGACUGAAUAAUUUAUUCCAGACACUCACUACCCUUUGUGUACAAUAGUAUCACUUUAUUUUCCAUCAAUAGAUGUCGAGUAAGUAUACUCAUUUACAGUUUUAAAGCAGGUGACUGUGACAACUAGUGCCUACUGAGCUGAAAACAGACGGAACCCUGUUUCACGCUGUCUUGUGUCUGAAGCAGAGCUCCAAGCCUUAUAGUUUAAAAACCCUUUAAGAAAGAACUAAAUUAGAUUCUUGGAUUAAAAUGCUUCUAAACUGCUCUAAGGCAAGAUCAUCUGACUGGCCUCCAGUCUGUAAAAUAUUUGUUUACAGUAAUAGGAAAUGUGUUAAUGUUGUCCAAUCCCUUUAACAAGUACAGCAACACAACACUGACAGCUGAUUAACUAUUAAGAACUUUAUAAGCCAGUGAAGAGGCUAAAAUGCAACUUGAUACAGUACUUAGUGUGACUCACCCACUCCUAUAAAACCACUCCUGCAGUGCCCUGCAGGUUUUUUUUAUUUCCCAAGGACAAGGGUCUGUUUGGUGAUGGCCUGAUAUGGUAACAUUUUUUUUUCUUUUUUCUUUUCGCCUUCUUAUGUUUCUUAUUGUGAUGUUUCAUCCCCAGUGGAAGGAAUAGUCUUGCAUGAAAACCUAAUCACUGUGAACAUCAACAAGGGCGAUCUUUCUUUAGGGUUGUAAUACACAAUUUUAGCAUACAGUUAGUCUUAAUAUCAAACCAGAAGGCACUUCUGUGUCUUGUUCAAUGAGACAGGCAGCAGAAGAGCUUCUCCUGCUCCCAACAGAUAAUGUUGCAAAGUAGUUUCUUGAGGUGAAAUUGGAUAAAAAUACAAGCAUUGUUUUUCUGAAAAUGAUAAAAAACAAGAACAAAAUUCUACUCAAGAGUAGAUCAGGGAUAGCCAACCUCUCCGAUUCAGUAAGUAUUAUAAGAACUUCUGUAGGUCCAGCAAAAGGUUCGAAUUUGAAAAACAGAAAACAUUAUGUCCCGGUGAAGUCUCAACACAAGCUCAAUCAAUACUACAGAAAUCUGAGUAUGGCAGAGCUGUGCAGCUGAGAUAAGAGCUAAUCAAGAUUGUUGCUAAUCUUGGGCUGGGCCUUUCUACCCCUUUACAGGGCUAUUCAGUGCUUCGCUUAUCUCUAGGAGUUUCAUCCAAGUCAUUUCCUCUGCCUCUGACAAUACCACAGGCUCAAAGGUGGACGCUAUCUACCCUCCCCCACUGUUACUGUGAGUACUGAGCCAAAAUAGGAGUGUGGAAUGAUCCCUGGCUAGUCUUUGUCAAAAACACUCCACCAGCUGAAUUAAAAUUCCGGGAAAAAAAAACAAAAAUGUCUUCCUUGUUGGUGUGAAUUUGUGAGAAAAGACUGAAUUGUUUCAUUCCUAGAGACAAAAUAACAGAAUUACAAGAACAAAAGCUCAGAGAAUCUUUCUGCCUCACAAUACUCGAUGAAUAUGUGAUACACAUCCUGCUUCCUGAUGUACUCCACACUGCAGUUUACUUGUCCAUAUCUUUACUGUCUGUACUUGAACAUAGUGACUCCUGUGCUGCAUUAACGCACCACAACAGAAAGCCACGCUGUGACUUCUAAAACCUUUAUGUGCACAGCAACAUUUAUAUUCUAACAACUGUAAAUCUUUUACGCAGCCUUGGAUACAGACACUAACCUAGGACCCAGCAUGAACAACAAUAACUGGGAACAACCCAAAAGUUUUGGCGCAUGAAUUAUUCCAAAGAACUGUUCAAAUAAACUAUCAUAAGAACAUUAGAAAGGUUACAUAGGAAUAGGGGUAAUUUAAUCCAUUUUGCUAAUUUGGUUGUGAGUGGCUUGGUUUAAUGUUCAAGUAUCCCUUUUUUAAAGGAUCCCACACCUACUGUACCUGCACGCAUGUCCUAGCAAAAGGUUCAAGACUCCCACAAUCCUCUAUGUAAAGAAAUAUCUUCUGGUGUGACUGCCCCCAUGAUAGAUAUAAAGACGUGUUAAUUAUAUAGGCCAUAUAUGACA